rnacentral:rRNA from 1 species
AACGAACGCUGGCGGCGUGGAUUAGGCAUGCAAGUCGAACGCGAAAAGAGGGGGGUAACCCCCUCGAGUAGAGUGGCGAACGGGUGAGUAACGCGUGAAGAACCUGCCUUCAACAGGGGGAGUAACACUCCCAACGGGUGCUAAUACCGCAUGAGACCACGGGUCUGCAUGGACCUGAGGUCAAAGGUGGCCUCUGCUUGCAAGCUACCGGUUGAAGAUGGCUUCGCGUCCCAUUAGCUAGNGGUCGGUGUAAUGGACCACCAAGGCGACGAUGGGUAGCUGGUCUGAGAGGAUGGUCAGCCACACUGGGACUGAGAUACGGCCCAGACUCCUACGGGAGGCAGCAGUCGAGAGGCUUCGGCAAUGGGGGAAACCCUGACCGAGCGACGCCGCGUGGAGGAUGAAGGCCC